AUUCGAGAUUAUUGACUUCAAUAAGUAUUAGUGAUCAAAUAUUUAAUAAAUAUCCAAUAAUCAAGUAAAAUUUCUAUUGCGACUAAUAUUAACAUUUUUAAAUGUCACUUUUUAACUUUGAGUAUUAUUCCGAGGAAAAAUGAUUAUAUAUGUAAAUUUUCUCUGCACAGCCAUCAUUAAACAGCAAGAAAAAAGUACAAAGUGGUUGCGCUCGAAAAUGAACCUGGAAUCAGACAAUCCGUUACUAACAGCGAUUACUGCUCACCCAAAUAUCCAAGAAAGCUGAUCGACCAUGCCGUUCACGAUCGAUGCUGUGGCAUCCAGAAGAUCGCUGAAGCUGACGAAACCGUCGCCGUCCUUAUCGAAACUGUGGAAGACGAUUUGCGUGUAUCUGGUUGGGUCGCCCAAUGGGAACAGUUUUUGGCGUAUGCGGGUUUCAAAUCGCCAGGCGUCACACUGUUUGCGCAGCAUCUUCGCCGGCGGACCAUAUCGUCGUCAGUCCCGAAAAAACGGGACUCUUAGCUGAAAAUAUUUGAGCGAACGUUAAUUCAGAACGCGAUGUCGCGAACUUCUCGCGAAGAAAUGAGAAAGAGAUCUUUUCUUCUAAGUAUUCUCUUGACGCGUGAAAAAUUGGUCGCAAGUUUUGAUACUUUUUUGUAAUCUUUUCUCGUAAAUUCUUGUAAUAUGUAACGAUUACCGUGCGCGUGUUAGCUCGUUUCAUGUAGUGAAAAG